AGCAGCUGACCUAGAAGGAGCUGGCAAUGGAGUGCCUUGCCUCUGCCACUCCAGGGCAGCCACUACUCAGCUCUGUGCCUAAGUGCUGAUUUGUGAGGACUGCAUUGAUGAGCCUCCUGCUGCUUCUACUUGAAUUUGACCAAAGGGAAGCUCUAUCCAAAGAUUGCCAGGGAAAAGUGACGCCUGAGCUAAGUGUGGAAUAGUGAACAGUUCUCAUGCAUGGGAAAAAGUCAAGAGCUCAGUCAGAAGCAACAAACAGCCAAUACAAGAAUGUAGGGAAAGGAGAUCGUAAUGUGUUCCGUCCAUGAAGGCUUGAACAAUUAACCUGCUUUAUCCUUUGCCCGUUCCACCUGGAUACCACAUCCUGUGCACUCUACUUCUGCCCCCACAGGUGACCCUUCAUAACUCCAGGAUGAAGUGAAACUAUUAGAUGGGCCCUGCCUGCUGGUCCCAUCUGGCCAGGUUGUGCCUGUCGCUCCAGCACUGCCUCAGUGAUCCAGUCUCUGUCAUUUGUUCUCUAGGCUUCCUUUGCUGGUCCACAGACCUCAGAGCUCAGGGAUCAGCUGCUCCCUUCAGAAAGACAGUAUGCACAAAUGGAAACUUUGUACAUCAUAACAAUCUUGUACAUCAAGAACAUAUGUUCCUGAUGAAUAGUGCAGAAGUAAAAAGUCUAAUUCUCCAUGAAGAAUUUCCUCCUAGAACUACAUUUCCUUACUCUUCUCAUUUAAAAUACAAAUGGAAACCUUAUUCAUGUGGCAUAGUGCCUAGGACCCAUGAAAAUAUUUCUUUUAAAAUCAGAAGACAAAGGAAUAUAAUAAUAAUAAAUCUGUAAUAAAUAUUCCAACUUUAUACUAAUAAAGUUGCAAAUUUUAAGACAUUUUUAUGGAGAAAAGAGUCUGUGACGGCAGAAUUACCUAUGACCCACAAAAGCCCAAAUGUGCUCAUGUGUUUUCAUCAUUUAUUCCGUCAAUGGAUAAUUUGAUCUCCGGGGAAUGGAACUAUGGUUUGCCAAGUCCUUGUAAAUUUGGGACCGUGCCCUGAGCAUCUUAGAAUGUGCUUUGGAGAAGGUAUUCUGCAAAGAGGCUAGAAGUUGCAAGCAGAAAGAGCAAGUCAGGCAGAGAGAGCUGGGGGAAAGAGAAACCAAAUACAGACAAACGUCUAAAACCUGAGAACAGACUGCUUCUGCAGUGGCCAUGAUAAUGCUAACUUGGAUCUGAUUUUGCCGCCGAGGUCCAGGGGCUCAAGAAUGAAGCCGAAAGUGGUGUCAGGUGACCGCACAGGAACAAAGCUGCAGCCAGAUUGGCAGCUUCAGAACUGGCCAGGAUGAAAGGAGAGAGGACUCAGAGUGAGUUAUGUGUGCCACUCCCUGCCAAGACCCGAGGUGCUUUGGCAACAAUUGGUGAAGGCUCAACAAUGACAAAAAGUCACUGGCCCUUUCUUUGUGGGUGGCACCGAUUUGUGCUACAGCCACUAAACCCUGGCAGACUUUGAGAGGGCAGAGAGGACACUUGCCUAGCACAGAGAUUUCUAUAUUAAGAUGGGUGUCUCAGGGGAUAUUUUAGAAAUACUCUGUCACAACUAAAUUAUGAACACUUCUCUAGGAUGUUGCUCUGCUGUUGACAUUCUAUAUUGCGAAAGACAUUUUUCUCUUCGUUUCCAACUGGAUACAUGGCAGUGGAUGUGAAGUAGAAAGGCUAUUAAGGCAAGAAGCUAAGGCUGUUGACCUUCAUUUUGAGGAGUACCCAUCUUUGUAGUAACAAAACGUAGUGUCUUAUUUAAUGGUUAGUGCUAAGGGCAGACCCAGACUUUCCAUACUGAAAAGUCUCACGGUGCCAGUAUUUUUGGAAAUAGAGUUAGACAUUGGAAGGUGCAUUUGUUUGCUCCUUUGAUGACACUGGAAAACCUCAGUUGCUCUCGAAAAGUGGAGUGAGUACUAAAGUCCCUGACCGUAGCUCCCACCCCUCCUACCUCUGGAUCAUCACUGCUUUUAGCUUAAUCCUGAAUUUCACCAAGAUUCUCAGCCUCCCAAGAAAAAUCCAUUUCAGCAUCCCACUCUCAAAUGGACUUUGGCUGCUUUUCAAUACUUCCCUCAAUUUACACUUCAGGUAGCUAUGGGAAUUCUCCUUGACUCUUAUUUUGAGCCUACCUUCUGCUCCCCAUUUCGCAUAGUUUCAACCUAAAAUCAAAACCCUCUCCUAAGCUAUUGUAAAAGCCUCUAGCCCUCCUUUCCAUUCCUCCUCUUGCCUCAGAGGACUUUCUCAAUGUAGAUUUGAGAAUUAUUCCCUUUCUUUGUAGUCUCUGCAUUAUUCAAGCUGACUUCCUUUGUAUGAUACCUCUAGGUUUUUAUGAUCUGAUCCCUGCUUAUCCUUUUUAGAAUGUUAUUGCAGAGGUGAACAGUGCAGAGUUGGCCUCUGUAAAGGGCUUUUAUGAUUAAACUUACUGAACACUGCAGAACUCGGCAGCUGCCCCAGAUGACUGUCGCAUUCAGGGGCGAUCUCCACCCUCUGAGUAAUACCCAUGGUUUGAGUCUGUCUAGAAAUGAAUUGCCUUAGCCUCUUCCCAACUACAGGCUUGGAAGGCAGUAUGGGUUCACACCAGGCUAGCUUACACAUGGCACUCCCAGGUAAAUAUCUUUAACUUGGGAGCAGGAAAAAGGUUUGUAUUUUUUAGCUUACUGAAAGCUUGGAAGAACUAAAAUAGAAACAGUCAAUCUAAUUACUAGCACUAUUGAGAAAUUGUUGAGUGGAGGAUAAAGCUUUUAAACAAGUAAAAGAACUCCACAUGCACGUAAUUGAAUCUACAACUACUGGAGAGCUAACUUGUGCUAAAAGAUUUCUUGCACAUUUUGUACUUAGUAACUGAGGCCUAUGGGGAGAUGUUUUCUCUUUGGACUUUGAGCUCCGUAUUAAUUGCUUAUUAAAGACCAGUGGAGUUGAUGGUGGGCUGAUUCUGCUGAGGAAGAGACUCUCAUUGGCUUUUAGAGUUAGUCAAGCAGAAAGGAGAAAAUGCUGAAGGAGAUGAGGUUUGGCUCUGGGCUGCAGCCUUCCCUCUGGGGGCUCUCUGACACCUUACCAAAGUGAUAUGAGUACAGAGUCAAUAUUGUGAAAUCAUUAGACCUGGGUUCAAAUCCACUGAAGUAUAUGGCCUAAAGCAGGCAUUGUCAAACUACUAUCCUAGGCCAAAUCUAGCCCACCACCUGAUUUCAUAGAUCAGUUUUACUGGCUGACAGCCACCUUCACGCAUUAAGAUAAGGCUGUGCAGAAUUGAACAGGCACAACAGAUAUCACAAGGCUCCCAAAGUAUAAAAUAUUUUCUACUUGACCUGUUUCAAAAAAAGUGGUAUACCCCUGGACUAAAGCAAUAAAAGACUUAACCUCAGUUUCAUUAUGCACAGAAUGUUGGAAAUAACACUACUCCUAAAGGUUUUAUUAUAAUGCAAACAGGCAUUAAACAAAACAAAAAUAAGGACAUUUGGAAGACUCUAGGUUAAAUAAGGAUGUGUUCCUUUCCUGUAGGCUCUCACAGAGCCUUUAAGAAGGUAACUAGGUAAUCUGGCAUCGUUUUCCCUGAUUAAUUUAAUCUCAGAACCCCACUGUUAUGAAAUAAUGUGCAGGAGUUAUUCUCAUACAUACAUGCAUGUAUCUUGGGAUACACAAAGACUUCCCAGGGAUAUAGAUAGUUCAAAAGGAGUCAAUUUUCAGAUCUUGAUUCCACAUGCAUUGUUUCCUAAAACAGAUCCACCUGAAAAUAAGCCUUCCUUUCCAAUAGUCUGUCUUCCCCCCUUUAUCAGAUAAAGGUCAGCUUCUCAUUCACUCCAGAUUCUAGCUUCUGCUGUAGUUCAAGCACUCUAGAUUGCUUGUUCCUUUAAUAAUAAAUCACAAAGUCCUGAGGCCCUGGUCUUAUGCAGAGUUUCCUUAAGCCUGAAGCUUGGUAUUAAUGGGCUGUUUGGAGCACGCUGAGACUCUGAAUUCAGGAUAGCUGAAGUGGUACAGAGUCGUGAUGCAUGUUCUUUAGCCUGCAACUGGAACGUUUCCUGAGACUACCAAAUUUUUCAAGGUAGAAAACCCAUGUGUAAAAAAUUUACAUUUUUCUUGCAGACUUGCUCUUUAAUCAAUGUUAGUUAAAUUUUAUUUUAUGAGAUUACAUUAUGCAAUAUUUAUGCUGAUUUUGAUAGAUCCCCACCUGAUUCCAUGUCAAAUGUGUGAUAUGUUCAACUCCUAUUGAUUGAAAAACAGUCUUUAAACUUACGAUGAAAACUUUUAAAUAUCAACUUUAAAAUGUGUAAAAUGAUAUGCAAUUUCUCAAAAUCCUAUUAGGAGGUUGGUGAACAAAAGUGUUUGAUGACAAGCCCUUUGUAGUUUUCAGCACUGGGAAACACUGAGUUAGACAGGUCUAUGCAGAGUUCAGCAAGUGGCCCAGCACCGCAGUUACUUCAUAUCUGCUUUUUCUCUUCUCCUGCCCUCCCUCCUUCCCCUGCCAGUCUGAUCAACGCAUUCAUGUUCUUUGUCUCCUCUCCAAAAAGUCAAGCUCUCCAAAAAGGGUUUAAUGGAUUGAUUCCUACAAAGAGAUGACUUAAACAAGCAAGCUUGCUCAUCUGUCACUGAACUUGCAUUUUAACACUGGAGAAAAUACGAGAGAGUGAGAGCUAUGGUAGUGUUUGGUUUUCUGUUCUCUGACAUAGACCUAUUUGAGCAGCUUUCCUCUUCAGGUGACUUUUUAUUAAAAUGAGUGUGUUCUUCUGGAUCUGCAGACCAAGAGUGCUUCCAAAGACCAACCUGGGUCACAGCUUCACCCCUGAGAAUGGAAGCUGAGACUGCAGUGUGGCUUCCUGGUCCCAGGAGAGAGCAUGUUCCUUCAAGAUCACAGGAGGGGAGGGGUGCUCUAACCAAGAACACUGUGCCUCCUCCCAGCACCACCCACAGCCAGCCUGCUGGUGGCAUUUGGGGCUGUCUUUCUUUAUCAGAAGUUAGGGAACAAUCUGGAAGGACUAACUUUUUUGAGUGUUCUUCAGUCUCACAGUUUAGCAACAUGUUUAGCUAACAUAAGAAAUUUGGACUCACCUCCCACCCUGUUUGAACAACUCACAGAACAAAUCAAAAGGAGGGGAUGAUAGUCUCACUAUUCCUUCUGAGCAUAUUCACUGCCCCCAUUAGACUGGUAGUCAGUUUUUGAUAGGGGCUGCUGCUUCCAAAAAGAAGUUUCUGGCCAUGGGACUGCUCUCACGUGGCAUCCCAAACCAUUUUCCCUAGGGAAGGCAGGAGGAGUCAUUUCCUUGAAGAUCUGUUUCCCAAAUGAAAGACCUUUGAUUCCUAGCAUGAUAUCUAUAGGUUUUUACCUUUUUACUCUUUCCUCAAGACAGCACUAAAGAUCAUGUUAAAAAAAUAAAAUUAGAAAAUCCCAUUGAAAUUGACUCAAAUGAUGAUACUAAAAAUGGUACUGAAUAUUUUGAUGCAGUAGUAUUUAGUGUGUCAAGUCAGGUGGGGUCCAGCAUCUCAGAUAAUGCCACCAAAGCUCCACUUCUGCUUUGUCAUAGUGUGUGGUCCACCCUUAGCCUCCAUAUCAUGCAGGGCUGUACUCUGCAUUCAGCUGACUGCAGCAAAGGUAGGUAGGUCUCAGAGAAAAGAAAAGGCGGCACUAGCACGUAUCUUGCUUCUUCUUGUCCCAGACUGAGGGAAUGUUUCUGUGAACUAAUCACCGGGAUUAAGUUGACCAAGCCUAAUCCCUAUUGUAAGGAAAGAGUAGACUUCACUCAAACCAUAGGUAGACCUAGUUUUGUCUCCAUCCAAGACCAAAUCCUUGCUGAACAGGACAAAUUGGUGAUAAACAUUAUACUGUCUGAAGUUUUUACUUUUGCCUCAUCAUGAUCUUCAAGACAGUAUCUCUCCUUUGGGUUUCUUGAUAGACACCUUGGCUUUCAGUUCAGCCUCUGUGCUCACAGCAAAAACUUCUUCUGCUCCUUAAUGACCCCCACACAGCUGACUUUGUGUGAGCUAUUUCUGCGAGCCCAGGAUUGAUUUGUCACCCCAGAUGUGGUUACUCCAUAUACCA